rnacentral:sRNA from 1 species
AUGGAGCUCCUCCCGCCACUGCCUCAGUCCUUCCUGUUGCUGCUGCUGUUGCCUGCCGAGCCUGCGGCGGGCGAGGACUGGCAGUGCCCGCGCACACCCUACGCGGCCUCUCGCGACUUUGACGUGAAGUACGUGGUGCCCAGCUUCUCCGCCGGAGGCCUGGUACAGGCCAUGGUGACCUACGAGGGCGACAGAAAUGAGAGUGCUGUGUUUGUAGCCAUACGCAAUCGCCUGCAUGUGCUUGGGCCUGACCUGAAGUCUGUCCAGAGCCUGGCCACGGGUCCUGCUGGGGACCCUGGCUGCCAGACGUGUGCAGCCUGUGGCUCAGGCCCCCACGGCCCUCCCGGUGACACAGACACAAAGGUGCUGGUGCUAGAGCCCGCGCUGCCUGCGCUGGUCAGUUGUGGCUCCAGCCUGCAGGGCCGCUGCUUCCUGCAUGACCUAGAGCCCCAAGGGACAGCCGUGCAUCUGGCAGCACCAGCCUGCCUCUUCUCAGCCCACCAUAACCGGCCCGAUGACUGCCCUGACUGUGUGGCCAGCCCAUUGGGCACCCGUGUGACUGUGGUUGAGCAAGGCCAGGCCUCCUAUUUCUACGUGGCAUCCUCACUGGACGCAGCCGUGGCUGCCAGCUUCAGCCCACGCUCAGUGUCUAUCAGGCGUCUCAAGGCUGACGCCUCGGGAUUCGCACCGGGCUUUGUGGCGUUGUCAGUGCUGCCCAAGCAUCUUGUCUCCUACAGUAUUGAAUACGUGCACAGCUUCCACACGGGAGCCUUCGUAUACUUCCUGACUGUACAGCCGGCCAGCGUGACAGAUGCUCCUAGUGCCCUGCACACACGCCUGGCACGGCUUAGCGCCACUGAGCCAGAGUUGGGUGACUAUCGGGAGCUGGUCCUCGACUGCAGAUUUGCUCCAAAACGCAGGCGCCGGGGGGCCCCAGAGGGCGGACAGCCCUACCCUGUGCUGCGGGUGGCCCACUCCGCUCCAGUGGGUGCCCAGCUUGCCACUGAGCUGAGCAUCGCUGAGGGUCAGGAAGUGCUAUUUGGGGUCUUUGUGGCUGGCAAGGAUGGUGGUCCUGGCGUGGGCCCCAACUCUGUCGUCUGUGCCUUCCCCAUUGACCUGCUGGACACACUAAUUGAUGAGGGUGUGGAACGCUGUUGUGAAUCCCCAGUCCAUCCAGGCCUCCGGCGAGGCCUCGACUUCUUCCAGUCGCCGAGUUUUUGCCCCAACCCGCCUGGCCUGGAGGCCCUCAGCCCCAACACCAGCUGCCGCCACUUCCCUCUGCUGGUCAGUAGCAGCUUCUCACGUGUGGACCUAUUCAAUGGGCUGUUGGGACCAGUACAGGUCACUGCAUUGUAUGUGACACGCCUUGACAACGUCACAGUGGCGCACAUGGGCACGAUGGAUGGGCGUAUCCUGCAGGUGGGUCCUCAUCCCCACAGCCCCCUGGCCCUGGGUCCUUGUCUCCAUCCCCAUUUUGCUCACAUCUGA